rnacentral:rRNA from 1 species
AGAGUUUGAUCCUGGCUCAGGAUGAACGCUGACAGAAUGCUUAACACAUGCAAGUCUACUUGAUCCUUCGGGUGAAGGUGGCGGACGGGUGAGUAACGCGUAAAGAACUUGCCUUACAGACUGGGACAACAUUUGGAAACGAAUGCUAAUACCGGAUAUUAUGAUUGGGUCGCAUGAUCUGGUUAUGAAAGCUAUAUGCGCUGUGAGAGAGCUUUGCGUCCCAUUAGUUAGUUGGUGAGGUAACGGCUCACCAAGACGAUGAUGGGUAGCCGGCCUGAGAGGGUGAACGGCCACAAGGGGACUGAGACACGGCCCUUACUCCUACGGGAGGCAGCAGUGGGGAAUAUUGGACAAUGGACCAAAAGUCUGAUCCAGCAAAUUCUGUGUGCACGAUGAAGUUUUUCGGAAUGUAAAGUGCUUUCAGUUGGGAAGAAGUCAGUGACGGUACCAACAGAAGAAGCGACGGCUAAAUACGUGCCAGCAGCCGC